AUUGAACGCUGGCGGCAGGCCUAACACAUGCAAGUCGAGCGGAUGAAGGGAGCUUGCUCCUGGAUUCAGCGACGGACGGGUGAGUAAUGCCUAGGAAUCUGCCUGGUAGUGGGGGAUAACGUCCGGAAACGGGCGCUAAUACCACAUACGUCCUGAGGGAGAAAGUGGGGGAUCUUCGGACCUCACGCUAUCAGAUGAGCCUAGGUCGGAUUAGCUAGUUGGUGGGGUAAAGGCCUACCAAGGCGACGAUCCGUAACUGGUCUGAGAGGAUGAUCAGUCACACUGGAACUGAGACACGGUCCAGACUCCUACGGGAGGCAGCAGUGGGGAAUAUUGGACAAUGGGCGAAAGCCUGAUCCAGCCAUGCCGCGUGUGUGAAGAAGGUCUUCGGAUUGUAAAGCACUUUAAGUUGGGAGGAAGGGCAGUAAGUUAAUACCUUGCUGUUUUGACGUUACCAACAGAAUAAGCACCGGCUAACUUCGUG
rnacentral:rRNA from 1 species